GUCCACGCCGUAAACGAUGAAUACUAGGUGUCGGAAAGCACAGCUUUUCGGUGCCGCCGCAAACGCAUUAAGUAUUCCACCUGGGGAGUACGUUCGCAAGAAUGAAACUCAAAGGAAUUGACGGGGACCCCGCACAAGCGGUGGAGCAUGUGGUUUAAUUCGAAGCAACGCGAAGAACCUUACCAAGUCUUGACAUCCCGGUGACCGGACAGUAAUGUGUCCUUUUCUUCGGAACACCGGUGACAGGUGGUGCAUGGUUGUCGU
rnacentral:rRNA from 1 species